AGGUUUCUGAUGCUCCUUGCCUCACCCUGUGAGCUGGCAUAGAACAUCUCUAAGGGGGGAAGGAGAUGCCCUCAUUGAAAUGAGGGAGAAGGUGGAUGAGGGGCUCCUUCCUUUUGUCCUCAGAUGACCCAAGCCAAGUGCAGAAGGCGAGCCUCCUCCCAAAGCUCGGCUAGUCCCUCCACCAAAGCCAGGAUCAGAGCCCACACCUGCCUGGCCAACCCCUGGCACUGAUGAUGCCUGGGUGCGGGUUAAGCUGGGAGGUGAGAUGCCAGGGGGGUGCUGUUGGCUGGGUCGGGGGAAGUCGGGAGGGGGCGCUGCUCCGUGCUUAGCAGCUCCGGGGAGGCCUCCAGGAAGUUCUAAGGAGGGGCCCGGGGGGCCCGGAGCAGUUUCCAGUGGCCAGGGGUACGCGCGGCCGGAGGGGCGCCGGGGCCGUACUCACCGCGGCCGUUCUGGUUGGGCCGGUACACGCUGCCCACGCUGAGGCGGCCCUGCUGCGCGCCGUUCCGCUCCCCACCCGGCGGGGGCGUGUCGGAGCUGCGCACCGGCAGGAGCUCCUGCCUGCCUGGAUGAAGAGGAGGUCAAGACUUUGUCCCCCACUCCGCAAGAUACCCUCUCUGUUCCGGAGCGGUGGGUCCCUCCCCUGUUAGGACCUUGUCUCCCUCAGGACUGGACCUGGAUCCUGGGCCUGCAGUCAGAUUGCCAGUUUCACUUAGAGGUGGAAAUGUCAACCCACUGGUUGGAAUGGGAAGCUGCUGUGUUGUGAGCCACCUUAUGGAAAACCCAUGUGGCAGAGAACCGAGGGUGGUGGCUGGCCAACAGCAAGCCAGGAGCUGAGGCCCACAGUCCAACAACUGGUGAGGAACCACAUGCUGCCAGCAGCCAUGUGAGGGAACUUAGAAGCAAAUCCUUCCCCAGUUGAGCCUUCAGAUGACACCAGAGCCUUGGCUGACCCCUUACUUUUACCCUUGUAAGAGACUUUGAGCCAGAAGACUUGGCUAAACCACACCUGGAUUCCUGACCCACAGAAACUUGAAAUAAUAAAUGUGUUGUUUUAAGU
rnacentral:lncRNA from 1 species